CAAAAUGCUUUGGGCAUGGACUAAGCUUGGGUUCCCCAAGUAAUCAAGCCCACCCUCACUGAAUAUUUGGGCUCCGGCCUUGAACCAAACAGCCUCGCCGAACUUGACUCCGUUGCGGGCUAGGAGUUCAGGGAAAACACAGCCCAAGGCCCCAAGCAUGGCCCAUAUGGAAUGGAUGACUUCAAGCUCACGGUUCUUGGCAAAGGUCUCGGGAUCGGCUGAUAGCCCAGCAGUGUCCUAACCGUAGUCCCCGGGAAACUCCCUAUGAGGUACGAUGGGGCCUCACUGGAGAAUGGGCCCAAGUACUUAACACGGUCCGGGCCAUACCAUGGGUUGCCAGAUGACACAUUUUUGGACUUGGCAGCAGUUUUUCGCAUGGUGACUCUGCCCUUACCGAAGAGGGUACGGGUACGUAGAUGUGGAAGGGCUGAGCUUGACAGCUUGGCCAGCUAGGGAAGGGGAGGAGAGAGCCAUUGCUGAAGAAGCCAUUUGAGAAAAAAUGAAACUGUAAUGAAAGUUUUAUCUAAUACACAAGUGCUGAACUGCUGAAGGCUUUCAUGUUUCUGUUUAGGAAAAUGUAGCUGGGUACAAUAUAUAGAGGUUUGGUAAAGGGGUCAUUAUCUUUCUCAAAUCUUCAUCUAUGAUCUUUUCAUACGUGAAAAUGAAGUUCAAAGAUUUUCUCGAUGGAUCUCCCAUAUCGAUGCCAGUUGGCUUCACAGAUCAACUAGUUUUAUAUGCUUUCAUUCUCAGUCAAUAGAAUUCGCCCUUAGUACCCUGUGCUAUGAGGAGUGACUUGCUUCAUAUGCAGUUGGCUUCCUGUGCUCCACUAGUCUCCCUUCAUGACUAGGAAUCCAAAAAGGAAAGUAAACAACACAAAAUAUAUAAAAAAAGACAAAUGAAGCAAUUCAGUUAUUGAAUCUACUUUAAUUUGCCUUUAUAUCUUAGCCAAUAGAAGUUUCCCACUUUAGAGUACAAAAUGGCUAAGAAAUUAAAUACAAUUAAAAUAAAAGUUAAACAAAAGUCAAUAUAAUAAUAAUAAUAACAAUGAUAUGAUCACGGUAUACUAAUUUUGGAAAGAGCAGAGUGUCGUCAUUACUCCAUCGACUGAUUUGAGUCCACACAGCCUAGAGCCUAACUUUCAUGGCUCAAUUACAAGUUGGUCAUUCUUUUUUUGUUGAAAAGAUAAAUAAAUUACAUCAAGAAGCCUCUAGGGCAAUUAACGUUUACAAUAUCAAAUAAUAAUUACAAAUUGGUCUUUGUAUUUGCACUUUGGGCGAAGCUUUCGAACCCAAUUCCUUAAUUGUUUUGAUUAUCUACUAAACCAGAUAACCCAGCUCCUUUAUACAUAUAUGGGACGUGUAUCCGAGCCCAAAUUCAUAUAUCCGUGCCUCGUAAAGUAACAAGAAAAUGAAAUGCUUCUCAGAUGGCCUGGGAGGUUUGAUUGCAGUAAUAAGAUUUCUUGUUUCUCACGGCUCAUCAACAGAAGUUUAAAAAAAGGCGGGAGAAUCAGAUGAAAAUAAACUUUGGCGCGCCACAUCUCUUAAUGGGUAAGUUCAAAGACUGGUUGUGCUGCCAGCUCACUUGAAAUUUGAAAAUUAACCUAAUCCAACUUGGCCCAGGAUUUCAUUACCCCUAAUGAAACUAGGAAUUAAAGGGAAGUAAUAAGCGAAUAGGAAAGUGUAUAUAUACCCCCUUCCAUUUCAUUAUUGUCACAAACCCAUUCAGCCACUCCUAUUUCUGGUACUGUCUAGCUAGCUCCGUGGUCUUCUCUAAUCAGGAAUCAACCCACCAAUAGUUUACAUGGCUGAAACACUUCUCUUUCCUUCUCUGUUUGCUUCAACAAGGGUGCAAGACCAACCCUGUGCACUCAACCAAACUGACAACAGAGGUCUCAAUCUGGGGCUAAGUCUGGGCUCCAUUGACUACGACCCGUGGUUCAUCAAGAAGAAGCUGAAGGUCAGCGACCUCGGCGACCUGAGCAGGCUUUUGGUGCCCAAGAGAUUAACCAAGAAACAUGUUUUGCCGUUGAUGCACAAGAGCUUGGACGAAAGUGUCCACAGUAGCAAUGGGGGAGCGGUCACCGUUUACGACAGUGAUAUGAAAACGAAGCAUGAGUUGGUCUUCAAAUACUGGCCAUCGUCAGAGAGUUACGUUCUGCAAAGAAACUGGAAGAAGGACUUUGUGAAUGCGAGGAAGUUGAAGGAAGGUGAUCUAAUUGGGCUCUAUUGGGAUGCUCGCAGUUCUGCUUUUCUAUUUUCGCUUCUUCAACGAGAAGUGGAGAUCGAUACUACUCUGGGAUAUUGGAGGAAUUAAAUGACCAUCUAUAUAUGGAUAAAACGAGCAACGUACACUGUUAGUUUUAGCUGGCUAUUGAACUACAUGAAGAUUAGUGUGUUACUAUCAUUUUUAGAAUGAUGUUAGAUGUACCACAUUUUCUGUAUGAUCUUAUUAUUUGUAACUACUUAAUUCAGUUCUCAACAAUUACUUUAGAACAUUAUUUUGUAGUAUUUUCUGACUUUCCGCACUGGCCUGGAUUUCUGGUUAUGCAUAUAUAUAUAUAUAUAUAUAUAGGAAUAUGCUGGAUAAGCUGCAAACAAUCACAUUGGGAUGAUGUUCCAGCUUAUACCAAUAAAAUAAAAUUGCAUCACGUACGCCGGCAUUACUAUUGAGAUAAUGCUCGAGUUUAAAAUUAUCAGAUAACAAAACCAGCUUUUGAAUUUCUGAAAAUUUCGGGAACACUCUUAUUCCAUAAAUUUGAAUAAAGUACAGUCUCUUUUAUCACUCGCAUAAUGCAAAUAUUUCAUUUAAUUCGGAAAUUACACUUCAAGUUUCAUAUUUCGGAAAAUUCCGGGAACAUUCUUAUUCCAUAAAUUUGAAUAAAAUACACUCUCUUUUGUCAUUAGCAUAAUGCAAAUAUUUGAUUUAAUUCGGAAGUUACACUUCAAGUUUCCAUACGAAAAGUAAUAAAAUAAGUUCAUCUCAAAACUCACAUCUUGAGCUUUACCAUUAUUGUUUGUUAGAUCUCGAUUUAGAGAGAAAUUCGUCUGAAUGGUAUACAAACUUUUGCUCCUUAUAAACUUUGGUAUAUCAAGUUUUAAAAAUAUCAAAUUGGUAUCUCAUGUUUCCAUCUAGAUUUAAGAUUUGUAUAUAUAGCCAUUAAAAUUACUAAUUUACUCUCAGACUAAAAAAAAAAAAGAUGACCUAUUUACCCUUAAAUUCUCUUUUUUUUCUUAGUUUUUCUUCUUGGUUUUCAUAUUCCAAUUUUCUUUUUUUGGCUUUUUAUAUUUUUAGGAAUGUAGAUAAAAAAAAAUUCAUCAUCACUUUCGUUUUGCUAAUAAUCAGUUCUUCAUUUUAAUCACCCUUAAAUGUCAACGACAACAACAAGAUCCUUAAGUGUUAGCGGAAACAACAAGGAUUGAACUUAUGUAUGUUUUCCCUCUUCAAUCUUCUUUCAAGCUAAUAAAGACCAACCCAAAUCAUCAAAUUUCAAAACCUCUUCUAAUAUUUCUUGAAUAUGAAAACAAAUAAAAAAAUUAAGAAAAAAAAAGAGAACUUAAGGGUAAACUGGUCAUUUUAAUGGCUAUAUAUACCAAUUUUAGAUCGGGAUGAAAACAUGAGAUACCAUUCUGAUAUUUUUAAAACUUGAUUUACUAAAGUUUAUAAGGAGCAAAAAUUCGUAUACCAUUCAGACGAAUUUCUCCGAUUUAGAUUAUCGACUUGAUGGAUGAGGUCAGAAACAGUAGAAAGGUAGUUGUACCCAAUGUGCAUUUCUUGAUAGAAAGUUGCAUCACACGUACUAUUCAUUUGGGAAAUGCAAGCAAAAGAAAAGUGGUAAAAUCUAAAAAAAAUUGAAAACAGAAAAAAGGGAUUUCUUAAGUAUCUUUUUUCUAGAGGAAGGUAUAUAUUUUGUGGAAAAUGCAUGUCAAUAGAGAAUUAGCGACGAUCACACUGGAUUGUUGACAAACAGAAAAAAUGCUGUCAUACGGUAAAUGACAUCGAAUGAUUAGGCAAAUUCUUCAGGUUAUUUUUCGGUGAAGAAAUUCUUCAGGUUAUUGAGAACCAGCAGGGGGAUUGUUGGUAUGUUUUGUACAAUCAAAUGGUCCACUUAUUUGAUUUUGUUUCCGUUUCACCUGAAAUUUAAGACAAUGAAACAAGUGAGCUCCUAAAUAAAACUAAAAAUUCCAUACAAAAAGCCACUUGCAGAGAUAAGCCACUAAAGAGUGAGACAAAAAAUGCCUUUCAGCUUCAAGAGAGAAUUUUGGGAAACAUUUAGUGCUAGAAGAAAAAAUUUGCCUUAAAAUACAAGACCAUGUGCUAAUCAAGGAGUAAAAUUUUGAUGAUCAUAGAAAUUUCGACUGUCCAAAAAAUAUAUAUUUCGACGGAAAUAUCGAGAUAUAUCGAAAUUGAUAAAAUUUCCAUAUAGAGUUAAGUUGAAGAAUGUGAAUAUUAUUGUGUAUAUAUAGAAGAAUUUACAAAUAUCCAAAGUGACCCUUUAGCAGAGUUGGUUAAGGUGAUUCCAAAGGAAUUGACGACCUUGGUUCGAAUCCCCACUUGGACCAAUUGACGACUUGGGGGGAAUAAUUUUUGUUUAAAAUAUUCAAAUCUGGGACCAAUUGAAGACAAUACAUCGCCAAUACUCGUAAAUAUCGAGAUUUUCUGGAAAUAUCACGAUAUUUCCUACGUUUCAAAUGAUAUUUUGUGGUAGGCUCAGAAACUUUCGGACCAUUAAAAAAACGAUAAAUUCGGCAAUAUAUCAAUUUUUUACUCCAUGGUGCUAACACUAAUUUUUUUAAGACGAAACGUCAGUAUUGCCCAAACGUAUUUAAUAAAUUACAGAUACGUACCCAGCGUAUCGGACGCGUGUAUCGGGCCGUAUAAAGUCUUACCCGGGCCGUAUCGGAGGACACAUUCUUAAUCUGCAAGCAAAUGGCAGCACUUGAACGAGACAGGUCUCAGGUACCACGUAAAUUUGCUUCCUUUAUGGUUUUGGUGAAUUGGGUUUGGAGCUUUGGGUUUAGAACUGUUUUUCACUUUGCAUGGUUAGAUUAGCGACGUGGAGUUGUUAUUGUGUUGAUUUUGGGUUUUGGCUGUAAACCAGUUCAAGGAUGAAGGGUUUGGUGAUGGGAAUAUGAGGUUUUGUGGUUGGGACUGUUGGGGUUUGAUAAAGGCUUGAAUUCAGUAUCUGGGUUUUGAUCAAAAUUCUGGGAACUGUGGAUUUGGUGAGAAAGAUUGAGAAUUUGAUGAUGGACUGAACAUUGUAGAAUAGAAGCUUUUAUGAUUUGUGUGUUGUGGAUUUGGUGAGAAAGAUUGAGAAUUUGAUGAUGGAUUGAAGAUUGUAGAAUAGAAGCUUUUAUUAGGCAUUUCUGUUCUAAAUAAAAUGAAGGUACCAUUCACUGAUAUUGAGCAAAUUGUGCAGGUAGGAAAGGAGGAGAUCAGUUAUUGCUUAUAUUUUUCUUAUUUUGCGUUUCAAUAUUGUUGUGUUAGAUUGCACCAAACUCAUUGUCUUUCCUUGCAACUUCAGGUUGACUGAACAUGUUUUUCUAUUUUGAAACUUCAAAUAUUCUUCCUUAUGCUUAUUUAUUUUGAAACUUAAAAUGUUGUUGUCUGUUGUGCUGGUUCUUCUGCAGGCUUUGCACCUUUUGGUGACAUCUUUCUGUGUGACUCUGCUCUGGCGAGCAUCUUCCUUAGGUAGCCAAAGAGUGAACAAUGACCAAGGUUCAGUUAUCUAAUGCAAGAGUGGGUGACACUUUUGAUACUGGAACUCAACAACUGUUAUUUUCAGAAAGCACCAGUUAUAAAUACUGAAGCUCUUGUUCUUGUUUACAUUGUGCCAUUGAAUACACUGGUAAGCAAGCCUUCCUUCUAUUUUGUUGUGCAGUACUUAAGAUGUUGUGUUAGAAACUUAGAAUAUUAAGUGCAAUGUAUUCGUAAGUUGGAUCUUCAAACCUACAAGAUUUAAUAGAAGGUACCAGAGAGUUGAUUUCAACUGUAUGACCAAGUAUAGAGCAUGAUUACUGUGGAAGUGCACAUCAGCCUCACAUGUGGAUGGGAAAUGAUGCAUAAACCAAUCAUCUGUGGUUCAUUUUUGUUUGGUGCACAGUUCUCAUGCUUAUCCAUUUGGAUUUUCAUUUCUAUAUGUUGGUCUGUUGAGUAGGUACUUGCGAUGGAUGCAUUUCGCUGGUUUUGAUAGAACAUUUUCUACUAGAUGAUGUUGCCUCACAGUAUGAUGUUCACAUCCUGUGAUAUUGCAUAAUGACGUUAAGAUGUUCAUAUUUUAAGCUUUCCUUAGCCCCUCCCUAAAAUUAACUACUGAAUACAGAACAAAUUGACCAGAAAUCCUUACAUCUUCACCUUCACUAGUAAGAUGAAAGCACUAGUCUGAGCAGGAAAAUGUAGUCAAGAACCUAACAAGUUAAUCAGAAAUCCAGGUCAAUCCUUUUUCCUUUCCGAAAAUGAUAGUAUUAACCAGAAAAUAAAGAGGUUUCCUUUUUAAUUGUAAAAGCCAGGAACUCGCAUUCCACUAAAAAUAUACAAUGAAGCACAACAGAAGGAGAAAACUAAAGAGGAUUUUUUGCCUUUCAUAUGUACUUUCACUUUAAACCUGCAGGUGAUCAUAGCAGGACUGUAUAUUUAUUCAUGGUUAAGUUAAUACCUUACUUUCAGAAAGCUAAUAUGGUGGACGGUGGGCCAUAACAUGCACUUCUGCCUCCCAAGUGACUCUUGCUUUCAUGAUUUACUUUUAUUACUUUCACCUGACCCUGUCUUCUGUUGGAGUAGUCUUAUGUUUUCUUUACCUUUGUACAUGUAGCAUACCAGAAAGUUCAAAGCUCAGUCCUGCUUCGAUUAUCUAUUAACUAUUUGAUUUCUAUGUAUUUUCGUCAAUUUGUUCUACUAGCUUGUAGAAAUAAAUUUGGUCAAUGUGCUUUGUANCACUAAAACCAAACAACAAUUNNNNNNNNNNNNNNNNNNNNCUACUACCUACUUACCUAGUGAUUCAGAUUGUGGCAAAAAAAAGUUUUUUUACCUAGCGCUUUCCCCAUUUUAUGUUGCUUUUAUAAAUUGAGAGUGAUUCAGAGAUGAUUGUAGCAAACAAAAAGCUCAUCUCUCAAACAGUGCCUAGUAUCUUGUAGUGUUUUCCUCUUCUAGAUCCAGAACUCAAAGUAAUUGCUAAGCAGGCGUAUAAUUUCAAAAAUUGGUAAGCUCCCAAAAUAAACCAGUUUUAUUCAUGGUACUUUGUCUUUUCCUUGUUGAUUUUCAUUUGCACUUGGCUACCAGGUUUGAUCUGCACAUUCUGUUUUCUCUUUUGAAUUUCACUGAUAUAUUCAGUGGCUAUAAUAAUUCAUUAUUCUACAUUCAUAAUGUUUGAUAUUACAGUAAGUCUGAAAUGUUUUUAUUUUUCGAAUCUGUACUCCUUUGCUCAUUGCCAACUCAUUUUCAUUGUUAUUUAUUUAAUUAUGUUUUCGACUGAUUUCUUAGUUAGCUGCUGUUUCAUAAAAACUUCUUUGAUUUGAUGUAAUUAGACUGACAAAAUGAAGAAGAAAAGAAAAAAUAAUGACUAGGACUAUAUGAUGCGCACAAGAAUAAAUACUGAAAUUGAUCAGUUUAGUCCCACCGGAUCAACAUCUGAAACAAUUGUACCCAUAUAGUGAAUUAGCAAAAUCAUUGUGAGAGGAUGAUACCCAUAAACUAAGAAAUUGAUAAAUUCAAAUUUCUAAGCAUCUAGAUCAACAGUUAAAUCGAUUACAUUACAUUGAUUUGGUGACUGGAGGAAUUCUCACUGCUGAUAAGAUAUUGCAAAUUCAAAUUAGCAUGCAACAUGUUGUGCCCUUGACUGGGGUGUGACAUUUCUACCCUGUGUUGAGUGUAGGGAAUGAUUUGUUUGAGCUAGGCUCAUUAUCUGCUUAUAAUUUGCCGAUAUAUCAAACUAUGUAUGAACGUUAUGAUGCAAAUUGAAACUAUAUUUUUAUUGUCCUUUGCAUGUUUAAGCAGGUAAAGAACUAAUAUUGUUGUGGGUAACAGAGCCAUAUUGCUAUUUCUUGAUUACUAUCCAAUAUGGCUGAUAAAUUUGAGGACGGUACCACUGUCAGCUUGAAGGCCUUGGUGCACAAGGGAAGCAAUAAAGUUAUUUUUGUAGAGUGUGUUAGUGAUUUUCUUGAUGUCCUCUUCAGUUUCUUGACUUUCCCAAUGGGAACAAUCAUCAAGCUUGGCAGUAAGCAGUCAGUAGAAUCGGUGCCUGUGCAGAUAGGGUGCAUGAAUAACUUGUAUGCAAGUGUUGGGAAUAUUGAUGUUCAGCGAUUUAACAAUGAGGUGUGUAGACACAAGUUGUUAUCUCCUCGUAAUGCGGAUGAAUCUCGCUGCAAGGACGUCAAAUUGAAAAUUGACAAUGGUGAGUUCACAAAGUACUUUCUGUGCCCGGAUUGGAAUUGCUUAGGUGUCUCCGAAGAUGAAUAUCUAUUGAGUCAAUAUAAAGGUAAUCUAUUAAGUAUGUAUAAAGGCACUCGUUGUGAAAACUGUGGAAAAUGCAUGGAUAGAGAGUAUCACCUCUCCAGUCCAUCCCAUGCUGAUAAAUAUAAUGGCAUCUAUGUAAAGGGAUUAGCCAGACUCAUAGUUACUGAUGAUCUACAAGUGUUGUCUCCUUUAAGCGGUACAAGCUUUUCUUUCUUAAGCAAGCUUGGAGUCACGGAUGGAGACAUUACUGAAGAGACAUUUAAUAUAGGUGUUAGUGAGGUAAUUCAAUGUUUUCUGCCAUUUUAUUUGGUUAACUGUCUUUGUGUUGCAUUGCUGUUCAUUUUGACCUUAUAUCUUUUCCAGGUUUUGAAUUUGCUUAUCUGCUCAUUUGUGUCAAAGACACCGUUGACUGAAACUCUACUUAAGCAUAAAGCCGAACCAGAUUUUAUCACUGAAAUAUCUGAUCCAGGAACAUGUACUGAACCUCUAAUGGAAGGGAAGACUGUGAUUGAGGAAGAAGAAGAGAUUUAUGUGAAGCUUACUGUCAGCAAAUCAAGGAAGAUAGUUUGUUUUGCAGAAGCAGGGGAAAAGUUUGUUAAUUUACUCUUCAGUUUCCUUACUAUUCCACUAGGAUUCAUAUUAAAACAGAUGCAAAAUUCGUCUUGGAAAGGAUGUAUUGAUCAGUUGUACAAGAGUGUCCAAGAUCUUGGUGAUGAGCAAUGCUUGAACUCAAAUGACCUACUGAAUCCCAGAAUUUUUCCUGGUUUUUCCUACGAGAACCAUCUCUUGGGAAUUGAGGAGGGCUCUGAGGCCUCAUAUUACUAUGCUUAUUGUCGCCCUAACGGUGUGGAGGAUGUGUUGGUUACUGAUAAAACCCUCAUUCCUUCUCAGGUGAGGUACACAUUCCAUCUCAAAUUGAUGAAUGAUAAAAGUUCUGAAGGAUUUUUGAAAGGACCGACCAUGUUCACAAUAACCGACAAGCUUAUUGUAAGGCCUAUAUCUCCCAUCUUUGGCUUUUCGAUUUUGAAUGAAUUGAAGGUUCCUUUGGAUGACAUAAAGGAGGAAAUAGUGCGAGUUGGCAAGGAGGAGGUGAGUUAUUGUUUGUAAUGUUUUUCUAAGAACUUGUAUUAACACAAUCCUUGGUCUUACAAUUGUCUCUUCUGUUGUUUGCUUGAUGUAGGUUUUGCGUGUACUAGUGGCAUCUAUUGCUGGUGAUUCUGCUUUAACCGAUGCUUUUAUAAGGCAGCCGAAAGAACAGUAAAGAAACUUUUGUAUUCUGAUUACACAAGGAUAAUGCUUAGAUUUUCUACAAACUGGAAUAUCUGAGAUAAAUGGCUUUGCAUUUUCUUAUGUUCUUCAGCUAUGGCCUCCAUUAAGCAAGAGUUUGGUUUACUUGUUGCCUAAGCUUAGUUCUUUUCUUAGCCUAAGCUUGCACCCUUUGGUAUUUCCUUGGACAACUGGAAAGCUUGUUCGCCCUACUGUAUCAAGAAUCUAAGAAAUCUUGUUUUUAUUGCUAGCACAAGUCGGUGUAUCUCUUUGCUACGUUUUGACAGUGUUUCAGGUACUUAGGUGUGUUGAGGUACUGAGAGUCUAGGUACUUCUUGCUUUUGUAAUUGUACUCUUUCCAUUGUUAGUUUAGUAAUCUUGUCGUUUUUGAUGGAGAUUUUAGUGUUUUCCGAUUUCCUUGUGUUUAAUUAAGAAGGAAAUGAAGUAUUGAAUGGUAUGAUCACUAUGCAGGAUUUUAGCGAAACAAAAGAUGAUUUGCAGAGUCUUAGGUGCCUUGGAAGUGAAAACUGUGAUAGUGCUCUUUUCUUCUUCUGUUCCAAAUAUUGUGGCAUACGUACUCACUAGGCAAACUUUUUUGGAAUCAAUUCACUGCUUAUGUAUAUAAAGCUUUGCAUAGUCUUGCACUGCUAGCAAAAGUCAUUAUUUGCAUAAUGACGUUAAGAUGUUCAUAUUUUAGGCUCUCCUUAGCCCCUCCCUAAAAUUAACUACUGAAUACAGAACAAAUUGACCAGAAAUCCUUACAUCUUCACCUUCACUAGUAAGAUGAAAGCACUAGUCUGAGCAGGAAAAUGUAGUCAAGAACCUAACAAGUUAAUCAGAAAUCCAGGUCAAUCCUUUUUCCUUUCCGAAAAUGAUAGUAUUAACCAGAAAAUAAAGAGGUUUCCUUUUUAAUUGUAAAAGCCAGGAACUCGCAUUCCACUAAAAAUAUACAACGAAGCACAACAGAAGGAGAAAACUAGAGGAUUUUUUGCCUUUCAUAUGUACUUUCACUUUAAACCUGCAGGUGAAUCAUAGCAGGACUGUCUAUUUAUUCCUGGUUAAGUUAACACCUUACUUUCAGAAAGCUAAUAUGGUGGACGGUGGGCAAUAACAUGCACUUCUGCCUCCCAAGUGACUCUUGCUUUCAUGAUUUACUUUUAUUACUUUCACCUGACCCUGUCUUCUGUUGGAGUAGUCUUAUGUUUUCUUUACCUUUGUACAUGUAGCAUACCAGAAAGUUCAAAGCUCAGUCCUGCUUCGAUUAUCUAUUAACUAUUUGAUUUCAUGUAUUUUCGUCAAUUUGUUCUACUAGCUUGUAGAAAUAAAUUUGGCAAUGUGCUUUGAUCACUAAAACCAAACAACAAUUAGAGUCCUAUAUUUCAAGAGAAAUCAGAAAUCUACAACGCAGCAAACUUCUUUGUUAAGUAGUUUCCCUGUUGCACUUGAAAAAGAAAAAGCACUUCCCUUUUGAAAAGCUUAAAGCCUUAAAGUGGUGAGUCAUUACAUAAUUUACAUGGAUGAUGGGCAUUUACGAGUGAUUCAGAGCAGAUUGUAGCUAACAAAGUUUUAUCGCUGGGAGUUGCUCAUCUCUGCAAUACUACUACCUGGUGAUUCAGAACUCGUAGUACUGCUGCACCCUUGAGAGAAGUAAAGUUUUAUUGGUAAAGCUCUCAAAACAGAACAGAAUUUGUGUAUGGUAUUUCUCUCUUUCUUAUAAUUGUUUAGAAAAACUCCACUCAGGACUCCUGAACUCCUAAUUGUUUCUCAGGUCAAUAUUCUGUAUUUGCAUCUGACAUUUUAAGAGGUUUUAUUUAUUAUUUUUGGCAAAGAAUUUAAGGAUGUGUAGUAUUUUUGGUUUCGUAUUUUGGUCCCUAAAUAUUUUUAAGCUUUUCCUGUUUGAUCCUUAAUUUUGUCUUAGUCUUUAUCUGAGGUAAGAACUUAACUUCAGCUCGAUCAUCUUCAUCGCUUCGAUUUAAGCAGGAAAUAACAUACCAAUUGCUCAUGAGUAAUUAUUUGUACCAGGAAACAAUAACAAAGCUGAAUUUUGAAUAGUUCGUGGCUCUCUUGGUCUGGCAGGUUUUGGUGGCAUUUUUCGAGAUCAUUUGGGUCAGGUUUUAGGUUGUUUUUCAGAAAAUCUUGGCAUUGCUACUGCAUUAGAAGCUGAGCUGCAGGCGGUCAUUCACGCCAUUCAAAUGGCUUCGCAGAGAGGUUGACAUUCUCUUUGGAUUGAAAGUGAUUCUACUUUAGUGAUUCAUUUUCUUUCUUCAUUUCAAAUAGAUGUUCCUUGGCGUUUCACUACUGAAUGGUUUAACUGUCGGACUAUUCUUACUACUAUGACUGUUAAAGUAUCUCAUAUUUAUCGGGAGGGUAACAGCGUUGCACUGCUUAGCAAAUUUUGGUGCAGACAAUGCGGGAGUUCAUUGGUGGGAUUCAUGUCCACCUUGUGCAAUUACAGCUUAUUCACGUGAUUUAGCAGGCUUUCCCAACUAUUGUUUUAGUUUCUGAUCUUAUAUUAGUUUUUUGAUUUGCAAUUCAUUAGGCAGCAGCAUCAACGAAUUUGUUCUUCGUUGUUCUUUGUCCUUAGUAGAUCACAGGUUUUUGUGUUCUUUUUUUUUUUGGGAGAGGUUUUAGUUUAUGUCCCCCUCUCCUUUUAUGUACUUUUUUGGUUUCUUUUUUUUCAAUCAAAUAACUGAAACCGGGUGUAAGGUUGAGCCUCCUAGCUUGGUUGGGUUCCAAAACCCUUAAAAAAAAAAAAAAAAGUUUAAGUUUAAAACUAUGGUACCAAAUUAAGGUUCAUGUUUCUUAUCAGUGAUUUGAAUAGUUUAAAAAUUAAAUGCUGCAUCUAGGUCUCUUUUGGGGUUAGAGGUUAUUCGCUUACUUAGAAAAGGAUCAUAAAAAAAAAUAAAAAAUAAAAAAUCCUAUACAGUUCUGAAUAUAAAGAUCAUGAGCACAUUACUUGAGGUAAUGGAUGGAGGCAUGGAGAUGCAGUCAGACAAUGUUCCUCAAGAGUUAACCAAGAAGAUGGAGGAGCUUGAGGGUGAACUGAAGAAGAUGAAUCUCCUUUUCAAAGAACUGAAACAGCAGAUAAUUGACAAGGAGGACAAAGCUGCAAAAGAGAAGACGCUGAAGACUCUCGGGGAAGCAGAAAGGGACAAAGGUAUCGAAAUGCAACCAAACAAUAUUCCUCAUGAUUCGACUUAUAAAAUGGAGGAACUUGAUGGUAAGUUGAUGAAGAUGGAAGAACUAGUAAAAGAGCUGAUGCAACUGAACACUGACAAUAAAAAGAGGCCAAAGACCCUUAUUGAAGCAAAGGAAGACAUGUCUAAGUGGUGCAUGGCAGAAGGAAAGAAAGAGGUUGAUGAUAGAGAGAUUGAGUGUUUGGCCCAAGCUCAUCUCAAGAACCCUCAUCUGGAUGACGAGAUUUUGAAGUGGAUAUUGUGGGCAUCAGAAACGAACAGCAAAAAGAUAGAUGAUGCCAGAAGCGAAAUGCAAGAAGACAUCUGGAACCUGCAAAUUCUUGCGCAAGAAAGCUUCUUCAAGGCAUUGAAAGCUCCGAAUACUGAAAAAGGAAGGGAGAUGCAGACGAAGAAGGGUCAUUUUAAAAGGAUUAUGGAUGCAUACCAUCACUUUGAACUUGACGUGGAUGACACUAAUAAGAUGUGGCAACUUUAUCUGGUGGUUGAUCUCCUGCAGAGCCUUAAUCUUGAUGUAAACAAUGUCAAGGAAAUGUGGGGACUUCAUUUAGCGACGGAUUUCCUUCAAUCUCUUGGUCUUGACAAGGAAGAGAUCCCUGUUUUGUUGAAGGGAGUCAUUAAUCGAAACGGGCCGCCCCUAUAUAUGAGUCAAUUAAUCUUUGGAAGGGAUUUUGAGCGCUUCGCUUUGGUAACUGAUCUAGAAAAGUAUCUGAAGUAUCUGUCGUGCUAUAUGAUUAGAAAGAAGGCAGGCGUCAUUGACAGAAAUUAAUUCCGGAAUUGAUUUAAUUGUCCCCUAGCCUUCUGAAGUUAAGUUGUUGCAGUUUCCAGUACUUGAUUGUCUCUCAACUUAAGGAUACAUGCAUGUUUGCUGUUAAUCUUCGUACUGCUGGUAUAAAACUUUAAAUAUAUCCCAAGUCACUUCACACAUCACUCGCUUGUUCUGUGCUUCUGUUUUUUUAUUUUUAUUUUUUAUUUCUUUUUUCUUACAGUUCCACUUGGGUUUAUGAUAAAACAGAUCCAGGAUGGCUCUUCCUGCCCUCUUUGAAAGGAUGCAUUGAGCAGUUCUACUAAAGUGUCAGGAUCUUGAUAAUGAAUUCUUAAAAUCAUACUACUAGAAGGAAAACUGUACUCAAUCCCAAGCUUUAUGCUGGUCCUGAUAUGAGAAUAACCAUCUAGCUUCUUGGAAUUGAUUAUGGACUGAGACGUUGAAUUGUUAUGCACGCUCCUGGACAGCUGAUUCCUAUAAUAUAAUAUCGAGGCCACUACUGAUAAACCAGCCCUUUGUUCCUUCCUGUUCUAAUUAAUACAGAACAGUACCAACAUGGAAAUUCAGUGAGUUUUGCAAUACCUUUACUAAGGGGUGGCUUUGAUAGCCAAAUGCUAUUUAUUGGCGUUUAUAAUGCAUACAUUGUAGUGCUUAUCCAGUCACAACAACCAAGUACUCAUAUGCAUAGACACAUUUUAAGAAAAUAAAUCUCCAUUGAUGUCACGACAAACAUGCACACAAUGUCACUCUCCCCCUCUCAACUCUUUAACUUCGAUCACUUUCCGGGAACAAAGUUGGUGGCAUAUGACCAAGCAUUGUUGUUAACAGGGUCAGCUAAGUGAUCAGCCAAGUUCUCAAUUGGUCCCUUUCCGGUGACAAUGGCUUGCACGAAGAACCCGAACAUAGAGAACAUGGCUAAUCUCCCAUUCUUUAGCUCCUUCACCUUAAGUUCUGCAAAUGCCUCUGGAUCUUCAGCGAGUCCUAAUGGGUCAAAGCUCCCACCAGGGUACAAUGGGUCGACAACCUCACCGAGAGGCCCACCGGCAAUUCUGUAGCCUUCAACAGCUCCCAUUAAGAUGACCUGAGUAGCCCAAAUUGCCAAAAUGCUUUGGGCAUGAACUAAGCUUGGGUUUCCCAAGUAAUCCAGCCCACCCUCGCUAAAUAUCUGGGCUCCGGCCUUGAACCAAACAGCCUCACCGAACUUGACUCCAUUGCGGGAUAGGAGUUCCGGGAAAACACAGCCCAAGGCCCCAAGCAUGGCCCAUCUGGAAUGUAUGACUUCAAGCUCACGGUUCUUGGCAAAGGUCUCGGGGUCGGCUGAUAGCCCAGCAGUGUCCCAACCGUAGUCCCCGGGAAACUCUCCAGUGAGAUAAGAUGGGGCCUCACCAGAGAAUGGGCCCAAGUACUUAACACGGUCCGGGCCGUACCAUGGGCUGCCAGAUGAUACAUUUUUGGACUUGGCAGCGGUUUUGCGCAUGGUGACUCUGCCCUCACCGAAGAGAGUAGAUGUGGAGGGACUGAGCUUGACUGCUUGGCCAGCUAGGGAAGGGGAGGAGAGAGCCAUUGCUGAAGAAGCCAUUUGAAAAAAAAUGAAAACUGAACUGAAGCAAGUGUUUUGAUAGAAAAGCUAGAAUGCUGAGUGUUGCUUGUUUCUGUUUAGCAGGAAUU
rnacentral:lncRNA from 1 species